GCUUAUGGCGGCUUUGCGUGGGGCACUUUCGAGUGCGCCGGUUUUGUAGGUUGCGCCGGUCUGCUAACCCGCGACAAAGUCGCCACCCUU
rnacentral:antisense_RNA from 1 species